UCCACGAUCACAGAGUCUUUGUACAAUGAGGAAGUUCUUUGAGACCAGGACAGAGGCCUCCAGAUCAGCCCAGAACCUCCCUGUUCCUCCUGUUAACGACACAGUUUGCAGCUCUUUUUUUUUUUCCUGGAAAACCACCAUCGCCUCUGACGCUUAGUCGCACUGCCGCCGGCAUCGUUACCACGGCAACCAACCCAUCAGUUUUUUCUGGACCGAACAGGCUGGAUGUACACCGGUUGAGUGUGACUGCAGUGAGUCAAAGUCCAACACCAGCAGUUUGGUUUCCUCCGUCCCAUUCCUACUGCCAGCAGCGCACACCAGCCGAGUGUCAGAGGCUCUGAUUCGCCACACCACACCACCUGUUGAGAAAGGAAGACG